rnacentral:misc_RNA from 1 species
GAUGAAGAACGUAGCAAAAUGCGAUAAGUAAUGUGAAUUGCAGAAUUCAGUGAAUCAUCGAAUCUUUGAACGCACAUUGCGCCCGCCAGUAUUCUGGCGGGCAUGCCUGUUCGAGCGUCAUUUCAACCCUCAAGCACAGCUUGGUGUUGGGACUCGCGUUAAUUCGCGUUCCUCAAAUUGACUGGCGGUCACGUCGAGCUUCCAUAGCGUAGUAGUAAAACCCUCGUUACUGGUAAUCGUCGCGGCCACGCCGUUAAACCCCAACUUCUGAAUGUUGACCUCGGAUCAGGUAGGAAUACCCGCUGAACUUAAGCAUAUCAAUAAGCGGAGGA